AUUACUUCAGUUCGUCACAGGAACAUCAAGUGUGCCCUAUGAAGGCUUUGCGGCCCUUCGAGGAAGCAAUGGGCUUCGGCGUUUCUGCAUAGAGAAAUGGGGGAAAAUUACAUCUCUACCCAGGGCACACACAUGCUUCAACAGAUUGGAUCUUCCACCUUAUCCCUCGUACUCCAUGCUGUAUGAAAAGCUGCUAACAGCAGUAGAAGAAACUAGCACUUUUGGACUUGAAUAAAGAAAUGGAAACUCGCCUGACAUUUUCCUGGACAGUGACACCACCCUUUCUGGAAAAAUCCCCCGUUCCCUCUCCCUUUCCCUGAAUCAACUCUUCUUUGAUGUUGGUACUUCAUGAUUUUUAUUUUCAAACCAAAUCAGAAUGGACAAGAGCUGUGCAUGAAGAACUGCCUUCUUCUAAGAUAUAACCUUCAGGCUUAUCUCCUCUAUUUUCAAUGAACUGCUAGCCUGUAUGCAAUAUUAAAAAACAGCUGUCUCAA